rnacentral:rRNA from 1 species
AAUCAACGCUGGCGGCGUGCCUAACACAUGCAAGUCGAACGCGAAAGUCCCGCAAGGGAUGAGUAGAGUGGCAAACGGGUGAGUAACACGUGGGUGACCUGCCUUCGAGUGGGGGAUAACGUCCCGAAAGGGACGCUAAUACCGCAUGACAUCCUGUCUUUGGAAAGACGGAGAUCAAAGCUGGGGAUUCGCAAGAACCUGGCGCUUGAAGAGGGGCCCGCGCCUGAUUAGCUAGUGGUAGGGUAACGGCCUACCAAGGCAACGAUCAGUAUCCGGCCUGAGAGGGCGGACGGACACACUGGGACUGAGACACGGCCCAGACUCCUACGGGAGGCAGCAGUGGGGAAUUGUUCGCAAUGGGCGAAAGCCUGACGACGCAACGCCGCGUGGAGGACGAAGAUCUUCGGGUCGUAAACUCCUGUCGAGUGGGAAGAAUGCUUCGGGGUGAAUAAUCCCCGGAAUUGACGGUACCACUAAAGGAAGCCCCGGCUAACUCCGUGCCAGCCGCCGCGGUAAC